CAAAAAUGCAUUUGCCGCGGCAGCGCUGUCUACCAAAUUGCGUGUAUUAAACCGAUAUGUUGUUGGCCAAGACACACAUGGCUAAAAUGUGUGUAAACAUUUAAGGCAAGCUCAACUGCCGAUUACGGCAUACGGCAACAACAACGAUUACUAUGAUGAAUCACUGGCGAGAAUUUGCGCUUUCGGCUUCACUGGCGUCCAAGUAAACAACGAUCAGCGUUAAAAAUAAACGUUAAAUUUAAUGCAAAUUGCUUAUUGUAUAAGUUUGCCAAAUACGCUUGCACUUACCAUACAUAUGUACAUACAUAUGUGUACAGCGUAUGCAAUUUGCACAGUUAACAGUGUGAGCGAACUGUAGAGAACAGAAUGUGCGCUGUGGUGGAUGCAAGAUCACUUUUUGGCUAAGGACAAUGUACCCAUAAAAUGUUAAAACUGACAGUAAACUCAUUUAUAUCCGAGCAAAUCUUGAACCAGACUUUUUCUUCAACUUCAACUAAUGAUUAAAUAUUUUAUGUUUGAACCAUUACAACAACGACACUAAAUUUUGUUUUUGUGCGAGGAAACGUUUCUGAAAUCAUAAAUUUAUCGGAUAAGUUGGAACUUUGACGCCUGUUAUCACUUAUAAUAUGAGGAGGCUUUGAAAUGCAUCAACUUAAGUUAUACUUUUAUAAAGGCUUUAAUUUACAGGAAAAAUACAUUAACAAUGAAAUCUAUAUCUAAUCUAUAUUUAAUUCUAUAUUUAAUCUAUAUUUAAUUUUUAUAUAAAACCAAAGGCAGUUAGCUCAAAGUUAUAUACACAUAUCUUGUCUUGGGUAA